CCUACGGGAGGCUGCAGUGAGGAAUAUUGGUCAAUGGGCGGGAGCCUGAACCAGCCAAGUCGCGUGAGGGAAGACGGUCCUAUGGAUUGUAAACCUCUUUAGGCGGGGAGCAAUGCCGGGCACGCGUGCCCGGAGGGAGAGUACCCGAAGAAUAAGAAUCGGCAAACUCCGUGCCAGCAGCCGCGGUAAUUCGGAGGAUGCGAGCGUUAUCCGGAUUUAUUGGGGUAAAGGGGUGCGUAGGCGGAGUUUUAAGUCAGGGGUAAAAUGUUCGGGCUAAACCCGAGACGGCCGUUGAAACUGGGGAUCUUGAGUGGGCGAGAAGUAUGCGGAAUGCGUGGUGUAGCGGUGAAAUGCAUAGAUAUCACGCAGAACUCCGAUUGCGAAGGCAGCAUACCGGCGCCCGACUGACGCUGAGGCACGAAAGCGUGGGGAUCGAACAGGAUUAGAUACCCGAGUAGUC
rnacentral:rRNA from 1 species